GAUCAGCUCAGGACGAACGCUGGCGGCGCGCCUAACACAUGCAAGUCGAACGAGAGAUGAGGAGCUUGCUCUUCAAAUCGAGUGGCGAACGGGUGAGUAACGCGUGAGGAACCUGCCUCAAAGAGGUGGACAACAGUUGGAAACGACUGCUAAUACCGCAUAAGCCCACGGCUCGGCAUCGAGCAGAGGGAAAAGGAGUGAUCCGCUUUGAGAUGGCCUCGCGUCCGA
rnacentral:rRNA from 1 species